rnacentral:rRNA from 1 species
AACGAACGCUGGCGGCGUGGAUAAGACAUGCAAGUCGAACGGGACUAAAUCUGUAGCAAUACAGGUUUAGUUUAGUGGCGAACGGGUGCGUAACACGUGGGCAAUCUGCCGAGAAGUGGGGGAGUAGCUCGCCGAAAGGCGAAUUAAUACCGCAUAUGAUCAGCUAAGACAUCUUAGCGACAUCAAAGCCGGGGCAACCUGGCGCUUCUUGAUGAGCCCCGCGGCCUAUCAGCUAGUUGGUGAGGUAACGGCUCACCAAGGCUAUGACGGGUAGCUGGUCUGAGAGGACGACCAGUCACACUGGAACUGAGACACGGUCCAGACACCUACGGGUGGCAGCAGUCGAGUAAUUUUUCU